CGUUUAGACCCCUGAGCGAACGUUUUCCGGAAUACAUUGGGAAAAUGGCAUUGUUUGCUUUUGUUUGGCCUAUCCUCUUGUGUGUAGCGAUAUUGCCAGAGGGAUAUUCGACAUAUAGGAUGGGCUUUUUUUGUCCACUAGGGAAUGGAAUAUUGGGAGGUAAAAGAGACGUACACACCAAACCUCUCGCUGACAAAAUUACCAGCAUGAGCGGGAUUGCUGAAGAAUUGCAUCCAUAUCCAAAAGAGAGUUAAUGAUUUUCAACAUCACGUGUAACAUAUGAAAAUAACAAAAAGAAAUAAACAAUUUCAUAUCUGA